AUUGAACGCUGGCGGCAGGCCUAACACAUGCAAGUCGAACGGUAGCACAGAGAGCUUGCUCUCGGGUGACGAGUGGCGGACGGGUGAGUAAUGUCUGGGAAACUGCCUGAUGGAGGGGGAUAACUACUGGAAACGGUAGCUAAUACCGCAUAACGUCGCAAGACCAAAGAGGGGGACCUUCGGGCCUCUUGCCAUCAGAUGUGCCCAGAUGGGAUUAGCUAGUAGGUGGGGUAACGGCUCACCUAGGCGACGAUCCCUAGCUGGUCUGAGAGGAUGACCAGCCACACUGGAACUGAGACACGGUCCAGACUCCUACGGGAGGCAGCAGUGGGGAAUAUUGCACAAUGGGCGCAAGCCUGAUGCAGCCAUGCCGCGUGUAUGAAGAAGGCCUUCGGGUUGUAAAGUACUUUCAGCGGGGAGGAAGGUGUUGUGGUUAAUAACCGCAGCAAUUGACGU
rnacentral:rRNA from 1 species